UGAUGACCUCUUGGAAGAUGAAAACUUGACAGGAAGAAGAACACGUCUAUUAUCAGUGGAAGAAGCAACACUGGGUCCAUUAGGGAAGGAUCUGUCUCUACUUGACUGAUGAAGGGAGCUUGCUAAUGAUAAUGGUUUUAACCAAACAGCUUGAAAUAAUGGAGGAGAGACAGGAGAAGGAGUGGAUGGACAAGGACCUAUUGAGAGUAAUAAUGCCAGAACACAAAUAAAACAAGUCAAUUAUCAAUCAUUAGAUGGAAACCCCUGUUAGACAAAUAUCCUCUAAAGAGUGACCUCCUUAGGUUAUUCAAAGAUUCUGGUGUUCAUAGUAAAAUUAUUGGUACUGCACUUGAUGUUCAAGUAAACGACCUAGUACCUCUUCCUCAGCUUACCUCAGAUAACCUCAUACUUGUGUUCCAGAGAUGGAUAGACUCUGAUAAUGACGUGACCUGGAGGAAUUUAACAUACUUCAAGUAUGUGAAGAUUAUCCGGAUGAACUUGGAAAAGCAAAAUCUGAUGUGGAGGGAUUCCUGUCAUCAGAUAGAGCCCGUA